AGCCACCUUCUCCAGGGGGUCCUCCCAAUUCAGGGAUCGAACCCAGGUCUCCCACAUUGCAGGCAGAUUCUUUACCAGCUGGGCCAUAAGGGAAGCCCAAGAAUUGGAGUGGGGAGCCUAUCCCUUCUCCAGGGGAUCUUCCCGACCCAAGAAUGGAACUGGGGUCUCCUGCAUUGCAGGCGGAUUCUUUACCAGCUGAGCAACCUGGGAAUCCGAAAGGAAUGUAUUUUAGCCCUGUUGACACCUUGAUUUUAGACCAGUGGGACUUCUUACAGAACUGUAAGACAAUCAGUUCCUGUUAUUUUAAGCUAGAUUAAAGUUCCCUCGGAACCAAAUACUACCCUGCAUUUAGAACUCAACAAAUGAUUGUGACAUGCAUGAGAAUGUCAAGCAAUCCCGAUUCUUAUAAAAAGUCAUCUUGGAGGGGGCGGUCCUAAGAUGGUGGAGGAAUAGGAUGGGGAGACCACUUUCUCCCACACAAAUUCAUCAAAAGAACAUUUCAACGCUGAGUAAAUUUCACAAAACAACUUCUGAAUGCCGGCAGAGGACAUCGGGCACCCAGAAAAGCAGCUCAUUGUCUUCGAAAACAGGUAAGAAAAAAGACAAAAGAGGUAGGGAGGGAGCGCUGUCUCGAGAAGGGAGUCUUAAAAACAGAGAAGUUUCCAAACACCAGGAAACACUGUCACUGCUGAGUCUGUGUCAAGCCUUGGAAGCACAGAGGGCAACAUAACAGGGAGGAAAAAUAAAUAAAUAAGUAAAAUCCACAGAUAACGAGCCCAACGGUAACUCCCCCAGUGGAGAAGCAGCACAGAUGCCUGCAUCCACCACUAGCAAGCAGGGGCUGGGCAGGGAGGUGCGGGCUGCAUUGCUUUUUAAGGAUCGGGUCCGAAUUCCCCAAGUGUAACCAGAGCGAACUAACUUGGGCUAGCAAACCAGACUGUGGGAUAGCUACCACGAGAAAAGCUCUAACAUAAGACACACAGAACAAAGGACAGAACAGAAUUAGCCAGCUGCAGACCACCCUCCUCCAGUGACAGGCAGCCAGAGCCAGAAGGGCUGGAAGAGGGCAAUAGCAGCCCCAGAGAGACAUUAACUACCAAACUGCAAACAGGCUUCUUUGCUAACUAAGACUUCUUGGGGUUCUGGAC
ensembl:lncRNA